UUUUGCUCUUUGAAAGAUGCCAAAAUUGGAAACAAUACAGACGAUUAGCCUGAAUCCUGAACAAGGAUGACAUACAAAUUCAUGAAGUAUUCUGUAUUUUU
rnacentral:snRNA from 1 species